rnacentral:pre_miRNA from 1 species
GGAAUAUAAGAAACCGUCUUUUAACUUUUAACUAAAAAAGUUAAGAAAUAUAUUUAAGAACCGGUUCUUAGUUUUUUUUUUCUUAGUUAAAAGUUAAGAGACGGUUUCUUAUAUUCC